rnacentral:rRNA from 1 species
CACGUAGGCACCAAGCGUUGUCCGGAUUUAUUGGGCGUAAAGAGCUCGUAGGCGGUUCAGUAAGUCAGGUGUGAAAUCUUUGGGCUUAACCCAAAGCGUGCACUUGAUACUGCUGUGACUUGAGUUCGGUAGGGGAGUGGGGAAUUCCUAGUGUAGCGGUGAAAUGCGCAGAUAUUAGGAGGAACACCGGUGGCGAAGGCGGGUCUCUGGGCCGAUACUGACGCUGAGGAGCGAAAGCGUGGGUAGCAAACAGG